rnacentral:rRNA from 1 species
CCUACGGGAGGCAGCAGUAGGGAAUAUUGCUCAAUGGGGGAAACCCUGAAGGAGCAACGCCGCGUGUAGGAUGAAGGUUUUAGGAUUGUAAACUCCUUUUGUGGGAGAAAAUAAUGACGGUGUCUAACGGAUAAGCACCGGCUAACUCCGUGCCAGCAGCCGCGGUAAUACGACGGGUGCAAGAGUUACGAGGAAUCACUGGGCGUAAAGAGUGCGCAGGCGGGCUUGUAAGGCAGAUGUGAAAUCCUGUAGCUUAACUACAGAACUGCAUUUGAAACUAUGAGUCUAGAGUGUGGGAGAGGUAGGUGGAACUCUUGGUGUAGGGGUAAAAUCCGUAGAUAUCAAGAGGAAUACUCAUUGCGAAGGCGACCUACUGGAACAUUACUGACGCUCAUGCACGAAAGCGUGGGGAGCAAACAGGAUUAGAUACCCUAGUAGUC